rnacentral:rRNA from 1 species
GACGAACGCUGGCGGCGUGCUUAACACAUGCAAGUCGAGCGGUAAGGCCCUUUCGGGGGUACACGAGCGGCGAACGGGUGAGUAACACGUGGGUGACCUGCCCUCAGCUCUGGGAUAAGCCUGGGAAACCGGGUCUAAUACUGGAUAUGACUCCAUGACGCAUGUUGUGGGGUGGAAAGCCUUGUGCGGCUGAGGAUGGGCCCGCGGCCUAUCAGCUUGUUGGUGGGGUGANGGCCUACCAAGGCGACGACGGGUAGCCGGCCUGAGAGGGCGACCGGCCACACUGGGACUGAGACACGGGCCCAAACUCCUACGGGAGGCAGCAGUGGGGAAUCUUGCGCAAUGGGCGAAAGCCUGACGCAGCGACGCCGCGUGAGGGA